rnacentral:rRNA from 1 species
GACGAACGCUGGCGGCGUGCCUAAUACAUGCAAGUCGAGCGAACAGAUGAGGAGCUUGCUCCUCUGACGUUAGCGGCGGACGGGUGAGUAACACGUGGAUAACCUACCUAUAAGACUGGGAUAACUUCGGGAAACCGGAGCUAAUACCGGAUAAUAUAUUGAACCGCAUGGUUCAAUAGUGAAAGACGGUUUUGCUGUCACUUAUAGAUGGAUCCGCGCCGCAUUAGCUAGUUGGUAAGGUAACGGCUUACCAAGGCAACGAUGCGUAGCCGACCUGAGAGGGUGAUCGGCCACACUGGAACUGAGACACGGUCCAGACUCCUACGGGAGGCAGCAGUAGGGAAUCUUCCGCAAUGGGCGAAAGCCUGACGGAGCAACGCCGCGUGAGUGAUGAAGGUCUUCGGAUCGUAAAACUCUGUUAUUAGGGAAGAACAAAUGUGUAAGUAACUAUGCACGUCCUGACGGUACCUAAUCAGAAAGCCACGGCUAACUACGUG